UUUUUGGGGGGGGUUCCCAGUUUCUAUAGCGAGGGGAGUGGAUGUCUUAAACACCAUGUGAUUGGUGGCUUGUGCCUUCUAACACAGGAAUUUAAUCAAGGUCUUAAGAUAUCUGCCAAGCUUGGCUGUUGGUUUGUUAUGUUCCCAUGGAGUUGUGAGCUGCGGAAGAAGGAGGACGGGAGGAAAGGCAUGUGGGCCCUGAGUUUCAGGAAUGUUUUUCUUUGUCUUUUUUGGGGAGUAUGCUUCCACUCUUGUUUGAAGCCUGAGCAGUGGCUCAUGGUUUUAAAUGACCAACGAUAUAUUAAUACAUCUUUAUACGAUUAACUAUAGUCCCAUUCCAGCCCCAAACCCAGCUAUAUGUUACUAAAUCUCUGUGCCUUGUACCCUGUGCAGUUCACUUAUGUGUUUACACACAAGAGCACAGCAUGUACCUGCUCACCACACCAACCGUUGGGUCUGAAUUAAACUCAACCACAACUUUGGCCUAAACUUGAUUUCAUAAAGCUCAGUGCAAUGCUUUCCUUUUGGCACUAGGUUUUAUGUGGAAAAGAUGUAAGCAUGUGAAACCUAUUUGCAUUGCCAUAAGUGCCAAAGUUGGGGACGAAGCUGUGGUUAAGUUGUCUGUUUCCAAGCUGUGGAAUUGUGUAGAGUUCUGUGCUGAUGUACAUAACAGCUUUCACCCUGCCUUUAUCUUUUCAGGAUAGAGCUCACACCUGACUUUACCUCUCUAUAAGCAACAUCGACAAGCACACUGAGUUAGGAAGGAUUAUGGUGCAGCUGAGUAGGCGAUGAAGAAACGGAAUGACUCUACACCCACACCUUUCUAUUCUUUACUUUGUUUUGUGAAAAGUGAUCACUGAAGAAGAACCUUUGAAACCUCUGCUGAGAAGAGCGAUCUCUUCUGUUGAUUGUCCGGCAACUUUGCUGUUGAUAUGGAAAAUAUAUGUUGCUUUUUGUCCUCUCCCCUUUUCUUUCCUUCUUUCUUACUUUUGAAGGAUGUGAAUUAAAGGCUAUUGCUCAACUCUGCCUGUGAAUAGCUGCAUUACACCAAACACACAAGUGCCUAUGUGAAUCGUUAGUCCCCGCCCCCUUCGCUUUCUAUCUGCUGUCUUAUUGGUGGCGUCUAUCCUUUUGAUUAGAGCAGGAAUGAUUCAUUCUGGAUUCUGAGACUCUGAUAGUUGCAAAGGAACGUUUGAAGAUAAUACAUCCAUGCUUAUUACAGAGUAUGACGUGUGGGGUGUGCAAAAAAAGUUCCCGAAAAAAGUAAGGUUGGGAACCACUGGUUUAGAAGAAAUGGAUGACCAUUGCAAUACCAAUACAGUAAGGACGUGUUUAAAUAGCUAUUAUGGGUGAAGGGGUAGGGAAGGGUUGUGUAGUUUUUCAUUGUUUUCAAAUAUGAAACUGUGAUUUAAAGCCAAGACAAGUGAUUUGCAUGCAAAGGCCCCCUCUACCCAAGUCUUGGUCUGUGUGGCCACUGUCCAUUGUGAGCCAGUCUCAGACACUUUAAGUAAUGUAACAAAUGCCAAUCAAUAACAUCCGAAUAGCCUAAUGAUGUCAUUCUGAAUGCUGAGAAAACCAUAUAUCUCACUCCUGUCCUGACUCUGACGAUCAUUGGGGCUUUUGUCACUUUAUAUGUAACCAAUGCACACUGACAAUGAAUGGGCUUCUUUUCAUAUGGGACUGGAGCUCGGUAGUUAGAAUGGCUAAAGUGGAAUAUGUGUAAGACAACCCGUAGUGAUUUUUGUAGAGAGAUUGAAAUGUUUUGUUUAAACAUGACGUUUUUGGGCUUUUGUAAACUCUUGACUAGUAAAAGCCAGUUUGUCUAAAACCAA